AGAGAUUGAUCCUGGCUCAGGAUGAACGCUAGCGGGAGGCCUAACACAUGCAAGUCGAACGGGAUUGAGAGCUUGCUCUCAUGAGAGUGGCGCACGGGUGAGUAACGCGUAUGCAACCUACCUAUAACUGAGGGAUAGCCCAUAGAAAUGUGGAUUAAUACCUCAUAGUUCUUUUGUUCCGCAUGGGAUGAAAGAUAAAGCUCCGGCGGUUAUAGAUGGGCAUGCGUGACAUUAGCUAGUUGGUAAGGUGACGGCUUACCAAGGCUACGAUGUCUAGGGGUUCUGAGAGGAUGAUCCCCCACACUGGUACUGAGACACGGACCAGACUCCUACGGGAGGCAGCAGUGAGGAAUAUUGGUCAAUGGGCGCAAGCCUGAACCAGCCAUCCCGCGUGCAGGAUGAAGGCCCUAUGGGUCG
rnacentral:rRNA from 1 species